UAUGUGAUCGUCUCUCGCAUAUCAAUAAGCGGAGGAAAAGUCAACUACCUACGCUUAGGAUGUUGACGAGACUGUCGAUCUCAUCUAUACAUGACUCUGUGCAUAUCAAUAAGCGGAGGAAAAGAAACUAACAAGGAUUCCCCUAGUAACGGCGAGUGAAGCGGGAAGAGCUCAAAUUUGAAAUCUUAAAGGGUUUCCCUUUACGAAUUGUAGUUUAAAGAAGUGUUUUCUGUUGAGGUUUUGGUAAAAGUUCUUUGGAAUAGGACAUCAUAGAGGGUGAGAAUCCCGUAUUUGACCUUUACUUUCAACUUUGUGAUACACUUUCAAAGAGUCGGAUUGUUUGGGAAUGCAGUCCAAAAUGGGUGGUAAAUUUCAUCUAAAGCUAAAUAUUGGCGAGAGACCGAUAGCGAACAAGUACCGUGAGGGAAAGAUGAAAAGAACUUUGAAAAGAGAGUUAAACAGUACGUGAGAUUGUCAAAAGGGAAGCGUUUGACACCAGUGUUGUUUUUCUGAAAAUCAAUUAAAGAACUGUUUAUGCUAAGCUGUUUAGACUUUAUCAGCUAACUGUUUAGUUUUGAGCUUUUCUUUAAUGCACUUUUCAGUUAACAAGUCAACAUCAAUUUCUUUUGCUGUAAAAAAGCUUGAGGAAGGUGGCUUGAGAUUCGUCUUAAGUGUUUAUAGCCUCUUGCCUAUGCAGUCGGAGAGAUUGAGGUCUGCAGCGUAGAUCCUUCGGGGCUAAAUGCAUUUGUGCUAAGUUAUAGCAUUUUAUAGACAACUUGUUGACUAUGAUUUGUCCUGUAGCUUACUCGCUUAUGUUAUUUUACCUACGCUUAGGAUGUUGACGAGACUGUCGAUCUC
rnacentral:rRNA from 1 species